rnacentral:rRNA from 1 species
UGCAGUCGAGCGGACAGAAGGGAGCUUGCUCCCGGAUGUUAGCGGCGGACGGGUGAGUAACACGUGGGUAACCUGCCUGUAAGACUGGGAUAACUCCGGGAAACCGGAGCUAAUACCGGAUAGUUCCUUGAACCGCAUGGUUCAAGGAUGAAAGACGGUUUCGGCUGUCACUUACAGAUGGACCCGCGGCGCAUUAGCUAGUUGGUGGGGUAAUGGCUCACCAAGGCGACGAUGCGUAGCCGACCUGAGAGGGUGAUCGGCCACACUGGGACUGAGACACGGCCCAGACUCAUACGGGAGGCAGCAGUAGGGAAUCUUCCGCAAUGGACGAAAGUCUGACGGAGCAACGCCGCGUGAGUGAUGAAGGUUUUCGGAUCGUAAAGCUCUGUUGUUAGGGAAGAACAAGUGCGAGAGUAACUGCUCGCACCUUGACGGUACCUAACCAGAAAGCCACGGCUAACUACGUGCCAGCAGCCGCGGUAAUACGUAGGUGGCAAGCGUUGUCCGGAAUUAUUGGGCGUAAAGGGCUCGCAGGCGGUUUCUUAAGUCUGAUGUGAAAGCCCCCGGCUCAACCGGGGAGGGUCAUUGGAAACUGGGAAACUUGAGUGCAGAAGAGGAGAGUGGAAUUCCACGUGUAGCGGUGAAAUGCGUAGAGAUGUGGAGGAACACCAGUGGCGAAGGCGACUCUCUGGUCUGUAACUGACGCUGAGGAGCGAAAGCGUGGGGAGCGAACAGGAUUAGAUACCCUGUAGUCACGCCGUAAACGAUGAGUGCUAAGUGUUAGGGGGUUUCCGCCCCUUAGUGCUGCAGCUAACGCAUUAAGCACUCCGCCUGGGGAGUACGGUCGCAAGACUGAAACUCAAAGGAAUUGACGGGGGCCCGCACAAGCGGUGGAGCAUGUGGUUUAAUUCGAAGCAACGCGAAGAACCUUACCAGGUCUUGACAUCCUCUGACAACCCUAGAGAUAGGGCUUUCCCUUCGGGGACAGAGUGACAGGUGGUGCAUGGUUGUCGUCAGCUCGUGUCGUGAGAUGUUGGGUUAAGUCCCGCAACGAGCGCAACCCUUGAUCUUAGUUGCCAGCAUUCAGUUGGGCACUCUAAGGUGACUGCCGGUGACAAACCGGAGGAAGGUGGGGAUGACGUCAAAUCAUCAUGCCCCUUAUGACCUGGGCUACACACGUGCUACAAUGGACAGAACAAAGGGCUGCAAGACCGCAAGGUUUAGCCAAUCCCAUAAAUCUGUUCUCAGUUCGGAUCGCAGUCUGCAACUCGACUGCGUGAAGCUGGAAUCGCUAGUAAUCGCGGAUCAGCAUGCCGCGGUGAAUACGUUCCCGGGCCUUGUACACACCGCCCGUCACACCACGAGAGUUUGCAACACCCGAAGUCGGUGAGGUAACCUUU